rnacentral:rRNA from 1 species
GACGAACGCUGGCGGCGUGCCUAAUACAUGCAAGUCGAACGAGAGCGACCGGUUCUUGCACUGGUUAAUCUAGUGGCGAACGGGUGAGUAAUACGUGGGUAACCUGCCCAUCAGAGGGGGAUAACAUACGGACACGGAUGCCAAAAUCGCAUAGGUCUUCGAGCCGCAUGGCUUUAAGAGGAAAAGAGGCCCAAGCUUCUGCUGAUGGAUGUACCCGCGGUGCAUUGGCUAGUUGGUGAGGUAACGGCUCACCAAGGCCGUGAUGCAUAGCCGACCUGAGAGGGUGAUCGGCCACAGUGGGACUGAGACACGGCCCAAACUCCUACGGGAGGCAGCAGUAGGGAAUCUUCCGCAAUGGACGCAAGUCUGACGGAGCAACGCCGCGUGAGUGAAGAAGGUGUUCGGAUCGUAAAACUCUGUUGUUAGAGAAGAACAAGAGCUAGAGUAACUGUUAGCGCGUUGACGGUAUCUAACCAGAAAGCCACGGCUAACUACGUG